rnacentral:rRNA from 1 species
AUUGAACGCUGGCGGCAUGCUUUACACAUGCAAGUCGAACGGUAACAGGGAGCUUGCUCCGCUGACGAGUGGCGAACGGGUGAGUAAUGCGUCGGAACGUGCCGAGUAGUGGGGGAUAACGCAGCGAAAGUUGUGCUAAUACCGCAUACGUACUGAGGUAGAAAGUGGGGGACCUUCGGGCCUCACGCUAUUCGAGCGGCCGACGUCUGAUUAGCUAGUAGGUGAGGUAAAGGCUCACCUAGGCGACGAUCAGUAGCGGGUCUGCGAGGAUGAUCCGCCACACUGGGACGGGGAAACGGCCCAGACUCCUACGGGAGGCAGCAGUGGGGAAUUUUGGACAAUGGGCGAAAGCCUGAUCCAGCCAUGCCGCGUGUCUGAAGAAGGCCUUCGGGUUGUAAAGGACUUUUGUCGGGGAGGAAAUCCCCAGCGCUAAUACCGCUGGGGGAUGACAGUACCUGAAGAAUAAGCACCGGCUAACUACGUGCCAGCCGCCGCAGUAA